rnacentral:rRNA from 1 species
UACGUAGGUGGCAAGCGUUGUCCGGAUUUAUUGGGCGUAGAGAGCGCGCAGGCGGUUCGUUUAGUCCGAGGUGAAAUCUCCCGGCUCAACUGGGAGGGGUCUUUGGAUACUGGCGGACUUGAGGAGAGCAGAGGUGAGUGGAAUUCUGGGUGUAGUGGUGAAAUGCGUAGAUAUCCAGAGGAACACCAGCGGCGAAGGCGGCUCACUGGGCUCCACCUGACGCUGAGGCGCGAAAGCGUGGGGGGCGAACCGG